GCUAUAGCCAAGUGGUUAAGGCACAGCACUUUGACUGCUGCAGACGUUGGUUCGAAUCCAACUAG
rnacentral:tRNA from 1 species